rnacentral:tRNA from 1 species
GCGGGAGUAGUUCAAAGGCAGAACGUGGGCGCACAAGACGCCUUCGGUGGUGGUUCGAGUCCCCCUUCCCGCU